GUGGCCGGCGCAUCCCUCCUUCCACCAGUGCCUGGUGCACGCCCGCCACCUCGCUUUGCAGUCGAGACACCGUCUUGGUCAGCUCGCGUCUGGGACUCACUCCGUCUGCCCUCCCACAAGCCUGCCUAAGUGAUGCACUCUUUCUGGCCUUUCGGCUCCCGCUGCGACGUGUGUCUUUUUCUAAGCACUUCGCGCCUGGUAGAGACGGUUUCUCUUCCUCCCCGAUGGAAAGCUUCCCGCCUGCGCCUGAUCUACUCGGCCCCCUCCCUCCAAGUCAGGACUGUGACAGUGAUACUUGAAAAGAAGAGGGGAGAAGAAAGCCCUUUUUAAUAGAAGAAUGCCAGCUAAGAAAUGGAGAAGGAAUGAUGGCAGUGGAAAAACACCAUGUUGGAGCCACCACUGUCACAACCGACUCAGGGACCCCUGGUACCUUUACAAUGGAGAGGUUUGCCAGCCCAGUGGGUCCCACCAGUGGGCCAAACUGACAUUCUGUACCUUCCACUGGGAUGCGAUGGAAACACAUCCUCAGAAUUUCUUGGCCAAAUUCCCUUUGGGACUCCCAGACUGGCUUGGAACAGGUGGCGAAGCCGACUGAGUCUGCUGGUGACUUGGGAGUUUGCUAAACUGGAGGUACCUGUGACCCAAACCAUGUGUAGUGAAGUCUCCCAGACGCUCCGGCUGCGGCCGUGGAAGGUACUGAGCUGCGUCUCCAUGGCCAGGGACUCUCCCAGCAGGAAGAGGAGGAACCACAGAGGUCGACACAGUCACACAGCCGGGAGCCUAAAGGCACCUCUGCGUCCUCUGUCUUAGCCCCUCGCCCAGCCCAUCCUUCGCCUUGCCCUCUAAAGCACCAAACCUGUGGGAGUUCCCGCCUCGUCACAAUCCCCCAGUGGCUCCCAUCGCUGCUGAAGGCUCUGUGAGGCCCGGCCCUGCCUACUUUGCACUUGGGCGUUAGCGGCACCGAAUGCCUUGCCGUCUCGUCUCUCCGAUACUCUCCACUCUCCCUCCCUGGGCUGUCAGAUGCGCUGUCCUGCUUCCCGGAGCCCUGCCCGCCCUACUUUUCCCACGGUUAACAGGUACCAGCCUCGCUCUUCAUGAAAAUCCCCAGCGCCAGGCACACUUGAUCGAUCGAGCGCUGGCUCACAGCGUCACAGGAAAUAUUUGUGGAACGACAGAAAAUAUCUGGGUUCACAAGGGUUCCCCCAAAGAACGUGCAGGUUGGGGCAGGAGUCUCUCCCGGAGAGUAGGGGCUGCGUGUGGAACUCGGGCUUUGGAGGCAGAGACCUGGUCUCUGUCCUGACUCUGCUGUUUCCUGCUCCCUGGACAAAAGAGCCACUUCUGUCCCCGGUGUCUCCCCUAGAAAAUCGAGGUGCAAUACCUCCCUUUCAGGGCCACUCCGGUUACCUAACAGGAGCAUUCCCCACGUGGGAAUCAGGCUCAGGGCCUGGCCUGAAACAAGGGAUCCAUAAAUGACGGCUGUCAGUGAUUUUGGUCCCCGUACCCGGGACUUCGGCGCCAGCCAGUAGCCAAGGCAGAGGAAGGGCAUGGCGAGGAAGAUGAGCAAGGCCACGAAGAGCUUCCAGACGAUGGUGCUCCCGCGCCAGCCGGCCAGGUUCCCGCACCAGAUGGAGGACAGGACUUGCUGGCAGAUGGGGUGCGCUACAAACUGAGCAGAGUGGGAGUGAGCAGACGGGUGGCCGCCAGCCGGGGGCGGGGAGGAGGGCAGGCAGGUGGGGGCAGAGCCCCGGCUCUCCGGCCGUGGAGACUGCAGGUGUUUCUUUGCUCCCCAGGCCAGGCGGCUCAGAAGAGGGGCCACCCCCUUGCUGUGCGACCUUGGUCAGGCCCCAUCCCUCUUGGGGCCUUGGGUUCCUGGUCUGUGACGAGACACUCAACUCCCAGAUGCUCCUGGGCUCUUGGAGGCUACGUGCGUGUCUCUAAGUCAGGCAGUGAGCCCUGAUGGGAACUCCAAGACAUCACUUGAAACGUCAGCCCUUGAGGGAGCUGGCCUGCUCUUGCUGGACAGAGGGAGACAUGGAUGUCUGACAACAGGAGGUGAUCAGACCACAGCUCUGCGCAGGCCGCAGGCAGAGCUGAGCGUGAGACCCAGACGUCUGGUCUGAAGGGGGGUCGGGGCGGGGAGUAAUGGGCCCUCCUAGAGCUGGGAAGAGAUUGGGGCCUUAGACUCAGCCACCCUCGAUGUCCUAGCCCGCCCCAAGCUUCGCCAAAGCGUUCCUUUACCAUGGCUCCCCAGCCACCAACCCGCUGUCCCUGCCCCCCCCGCCGCCCCCCCCACCCCCUGCUCAGGACCACGCAGGCUGGGGCCCCAUGGGGGCCCCACAGGAUCAAGGGCCUAGACGGGAGGCUGCUCCUCAUCGAGAUCCAAGCAGGUCCUGAGGCAGGGAGGGGACUUGCUCAGGCCUGGGCUGCGGGACACCUGGGGGGUCGGGGCAAGGGCUUG